GAUGAACGCUGGCGGCGUGCCUAAUACAUGCAAGUCGAGCGAACAGAUGAGGAGCUUGCUCCUUUGACGUUAGCGGCGGACGGGUGAGUAACACGUGGAUAACCUACCUAUAAGACUGGGAUAACUUCGGGAAACCGGAGCUAAUACCGGAUAACAUAUUGAACCGCAUGGUUCAAUAGUGAAAGACGGCUUUGCUGUCACUUAUAGAUGGAUCCGCGCCGCAUUAGCUAGUUGGUAAGGUAACGGCUUACCAAGGCAACGAUGCGUAGCCGACCUGAGAGGGUGAUCCGCCAAACUGGAAACGAGACACCGUCCAGACUCCUAAGGGAGGGCGCAAGUGGGAAUCUUCCGGCAAGGGGCGAAACCUGACGGAGGAACGGCGCGGUAGGUGAGAAAGGCUUCGGGUUGGAAAAAUCUGUUAUUAGGGAAAAAAAAAUGGUUAAAGUACCAGGCACCUCUUGACGGUAACCAAUCAGAAAGGCACGGCUAACUUCGUG
rnacentral:rRNA from 1 species